rnacentral:other from 1 species
UUUUCCCUGGAGGGCAAGUGUUUGGCGAUGCGUUUUUGAGCCAAUAAAGCGCAAAAAAGGGUAGCUUACAACAACCUUGUGCGCACGCUCCUUAACGGAGAAGCCUAAUGGGUUGUAGCCAACCCUCCUCUUAACGUAAGAGGUUCAAAAUAAUUCCCAACACUACCUUCCGGGGCUUUU